GGCGGCGCCUUCCUCCCUUUCCAGCGACGGCAGCGACGGCGGAGCACGAGCAGGUGAGGGCGGCACCUUCGUCGGACGGCUAGCCGCGGCGGAGGAGAAGGCGGACGCCAUGGGUGCGGCUACAGACGAGGCGAAGGAGAAGGCGGACGCCGUGGGCUUGCUGCACGGCUACAGCCGAGGCGGAGGAGAAGGCGGACGCCGUGGGCGUUCAUGGAGGAUGGUACGCCGGCCGCCGGCUCCGGCCGCCAGUCCUCUCUGGCCUCCUCCGUGGUAUCCUUCUCAACCUCCGCUGCUCCUAUCGUGAUUUGGAUGGAAAAUUGGAGGCCGGCCGUGUCCUUCUCCAACACAAAUUGAUGUAGUGCCCGACCCGGAUUUGAUUGGCUGCUAUAAGAAGCAAGGGUCCUCGGCCGGAAUCUCCGUCAGGUUUUGCCCUUCGACCAUAAUCUCCAUCAUCCUGUCCAAAUUGCAAUUUUUGAACAAACAUCCAAUGUCGCCGCCAAGUUCGCCGGAGGAAGAAGCGCCGAGUUCGCCGGAGGAACAAGCGCCGAGUUCGCCGGAGGAAUAAGAACGCCCGCCGAGUCCUGUGGUGGCUACACGAGAGGCCCUUAAGAUGAGUGAUGAACAUCCGUUGAGCCGUCCAAUGUUGCCUUUGGCAACUACACCAGAGCCGUCGUCUCCUUUGACUUCACCGCCAUCGUCUCACAAAGUUCUAAGGUCAAUUCUCUAAUGAGAACAGACUGUCCACAAGGGCCAUCAAGCCAACUAUAUGGAAGGACCCAGUCCCACAUUCCCGCUCGUCGACUUCGCCGCAAGACAAUCUGCUACCGCCUCCGCCGAUUUUGCCGGAAGACCAUCAGCCGUCGCCUAGACCUACUUUGGUUCAGAAAAUAGAUGACAACACUGUAACUUAAUAUUACACAGAACAUUGAAGAGGACUUUGAUAACCGACCUUCAAAAACAGCAAAAAUUUCUGAAUCAAGUGUUCUGGAGCCAUCACCUAUGUCAUCAACUAUGUCAACAUGUACUCCAGUUUCUGAGUGUUUUGAAUCGAUUGUGCCAAAAUCAGAUAAUUAGAUAGAUCGUGGUCCAUUGCCAUCACCUCCAUCCCCAUCUAGCUCGACAUUACCAUCACCUCCAUCCCCAUCUAGCUCGACAUUAUCUCAAGAACAUCGGUCGAGCCGUACAAAUGGCGCCUGCAGCGGCUACACCAGAGGUAUUUAUCCCCUGAUGAAAGCUAAUCACUGGAUGUAAUCCCCUGUUUUGGUUGUUGUUUCUGGCCUGGUUAUACAGGCAGUUUUCAACAGCAGCAGGCUAGCAUGCCCAGUCUGAACUUUUAGAAUGUUUUCCCAGUUCAUGUUCAACUUUGAUCCUUUUUCCAGUUAAAGUUCCAAGGAACUUUCCUGUGUGAAUCUGAGAAUCUCACUGAAACUUGUGUUUCAUUGUGUA